rnacentral:rRNA from 1 species
AUCCUCUGCUGCCAAGAAAAGCCUCUAGCGAGCACACACACGGCCCGUACCCCAAACCAACACAGGUGGUCAGGUAGAGCAUACCAAGGCGUACGAGAUAACUAUGGUUAAGGAACUCGGCAAAAUGCCCCCGUAACUUCGGGAGAAGGGGGGCCGGAAUACCGUGAACACCCUUGCGGUGGGAGCGGGAUUCGGCCGCAGAAAAUAGUGGGUAGCGACUGUUUACUAAAAACACAGGUCCGUGCGAAGUCGCAAGACGAUGUAUACGGACUGACGCCUGCCCGGUGCUGGAAGGUUAAGAGGACCCGUUAACCCGCAAGGGUGAAGCGGAGAAUUUAAGCCCCAGUAAACGGCGGUGGUAACUAUAACCAUCCUAAGGUAGCGAAAUUCCUUGUCGGGUAAGUUCCGACCUGCACGAAUGGCGUAACGACUUCCCAACUGUCUCAACCAUAGACUCGGCGAAAUUGCACUACGAGUAAAGAUGCUCGUUACGCGCGGCAGGACGAAAAGACCCCGGGACCUUCACUACAACUUGGUAUUGGUGUUCGGUACGGUUUGUGUAGGAUAGGUGGGAGACUGUGAAACCUCAACGCUAGUUGGGGCGGAGUCGUUGUUGAAAUACCACUCUGAUCGUAUUGGACACCUAACGUCGAACCCUUAUCGGGUUCACGGACAGUGCCUGGUGGGUAGUUUAACUGGGGCGGUUGCCUCCUAAAAUGUAACGGAGGCGCCCAAAGGUUCCCUCAACCUGGACGGCAAUCAGGUGUUGAG